rnacentral:rRNA from 2 species
AAAAUUUAAAAGUUGUUGCAGUUAAACGUCCGUAGUCAAAUUUUAGUCUUUAGGCGAGGUGGCCUGGUCUUCAUUGAUCAAGCUCGUCUCUGCCGAGACUUUUUUUUUGGUUAUGCUACUGUUGGCUUCGGUCGGCGGUAGUCUCUAGCCAAAUGAUUACCAUGAGCAAAUCAGAGUGUUUAAAGCAGGCUUUCAAGCUUGAAUGUGUUAGCAUGGAAUAAUGAAAUAUGACUUUAGUUCUUAUUUCGUUGGUUCAGGAACUUAAGUAAUGAUGAAUAGAAACGGUUGGGGGCAUUUGUAUUUGGUCGCUAGAGGUGAAAUUCUUGGAUUGACCGAAGACAAACUACUGCGAAAGCAUUUGACCCAGGACGUUUUCAUUGAUCAAGGUCUAAAGUUAAGGGAUCGAAGACGAUUAGAUACCGUCGUAGUCUUAACCACAAACUAUGCCGACUAGCGAUUGGGCCUGUUUAUUAUGACUGGCUCAGCAGCUUAGCGAAAGUAAAGUUUUUGGGUUCUGGGGGGAGUAUGGGACGCAAGGCUGAAACUUAAAGGAAUUGACGGAAGGGCACCACCAGGAGUGGAGCCUGCGGCUUAAUUUGACUCAACACGGGGAAACUCACCAGGUCCAGACAUAGUAAGGAUUGACAGAUUGAAAGCUCUUUCUAGAUUCUAUGGGUGGUGGUGCAUGGCCGUUCUUAGUUCGUGGAGUGAUUUGUCUGGUUAAUUCCGAUAACGAACGAGACCUUAUUCUGCUAAAUAGGCAGGUCAACUUUUUAGUUGAUUAAUUUAUUUAUAAAUCUGGCUUC